AAUGCGUAUGCGAGAUGAUCCU
rnacentral:siRNA from 1 species